rnacentral:rRNA from 1 species
GACGAACGCUGGCGGCGUGCUUAACACAUGCAAGUCGAACGGGAUUUAGUAAACAGAAACCUCGGUGGAAGAUUACUAAUGAGAGUGGCGAACGGGUGAGUAACGCGUGAGCAACCUGCCUAUGACAGUGGGAUAGCCUCGGGAAACCGGGAUUAAUACCGCAUAAAAUCGUAGAAACACAUGUUUUAACGGUCAAAGAUUUAUCGGUCAUAGAUGGGCUCGCGUCUGAUUAGCUAGUUGGUGAGAUAACAGCCCACCAAGGCGACGAUCAGUAGCCGGUCUGAGAGGAUGAACGGCCACAUUGGAACUGAGACACGGUCCAAACUCCUACGGGAAGCAGCAGUGGGGAAUAUUGCACAAUGGGGGAAACCCUGAUGCAGCGACGCCGCGUGAACGAAGAAGGUAUUCGUAUCGUAAAGUUCUGUCCUAUGGGAAGAUAAUGACAGUACCAGAGAAGAAAGCUCCGGCUAAAUACGUG